rnacentral:rRNA from 1 species
AUGAAAGUAGAAGAAGUUAUCGAAACUCGAAACCACAUGUUCAAUCUUUUUUUAGCGGUUUCCCCAGAGAUCUUUAUCAUUAACGCAACCUUCAUUUUGCUCAUUCAUGGAGUUGUAUUUAGUACCUCUAAGAAAGAUGAUUAUCCACCGUUAGUUAGUAAUGUGGGUUGGCUUGGAUUACUUAGUUUUCUAAUAACCUUGCUUCUGCUCGCCGCUGGCGCACCUCUCCUAACUAUUGCCCAUUUAUUCUGGAAUAAUUUUUUUAGGAGGGACAAUUUUACAUAUUUCUGCCAAAUCCUUCUAUUAUUAAGUACGACUGGUACCAUUUCGAUGUGUUUCGAUUUUUUCAAAAAAGAGAGGUUUGAUGCUUCUGAAUUCAUUGUAUUAAUUCCACUUCCUACUCGUAGUAUGCUCUUAAUGAUCCCGGCUCAUGAUUUAAUUGCCAUGUAUUUAGCUAUUGAGCUUCAAAGUUUAUGUUUUUAUGUGAUCGCAGCAUCAAAAAGAAAGUCUGAAUUUUCCACGGAAGCCGGCUCAAAAUAUUUGAUCUUAGGUGCAUUUCCCUCUGGAAUAUUAUUGUUCGGGUGCGACCGGACUACUACCGAUCAAUUUUUUGGAACUUAUUUAUAG